rnacentral:tRNA from 1 species
GCCUUCGUGGUGUAGUGGUCAGCACACUGAGCCGGUAUUUCAGAGGUCCGUGGUUCGAUUCCCGGCUAAGGCG